GAUGAACGCUAGCUACAGGCUUAACACAUGCAAGUCGAGGGGAAACGGCAUUGAGUGCUUGCACUCUUUGGACGUCGACCGGCGCACGGGUGAGUAACGCGUAUCCAACCUUCCCAUUACUGUGGGAUAACCUGCCGAAAGGCAGACUAAUACCGCAUAGUCUUCGUUGACGGCAUCAGAUAUGAAGUAAAGAUUUAUCGGUAAUGGAUGGGGAUGCGUCUGAUUAGCUUGUUGGCGGGGUAACGGCCCACCAAGGCGACGAUCAGUAGGGGUUCUGAGAGGAAGGUCCCCCACAUUGGAACUGAGACACGGUCCAAACUCCUACGGGAGGCAGCAGUGAGGAAUAUUGGUCAAUGGACGUAAGUCUGAACCAGCCAAGUAGCGUGCAGGAUGACGGCCCUAUGGGUUGUAAACUGCUUUUGUAUGGGGAUAAAGUCAAUCACGUGUGAUUGUUUGCAGGUACCAUACGAAUAAGGACCGGCUAAUUCCGUGCCAGCAGCCGCGGUAAUACGGAAGGUCCAGGCGUUAUCCGGAUUUAUUGGGUUUAAAGGGAGCGUAGGCCGGAGAUUAAGUGUGUUGUGAAAUGUAGACGCUCAACGUCUGACUUUGCAGCGCAUACUGGCUUCCUUGAGUACGCACAACGUUGGGCGGAAUUCGUCGUGUAGCGGUGAAAUGCUUAGAUAUGACGAAAGAACUCCGAUUGCGAAGGCAGCUGACGGGAGCGCAACUGACGCUUAAAGCUCGAAGGUGCGGGUAUCAAACAGG
rnacentral:rRNA from 1 species